GACGAACGCUGGCGGCGUGCCUAAUACAUGCAAGUAGAACGCUGAAGGAAGGAGCUUGCUCUUUCCGGAUGAGUUGCGAACGGGUGAGUAACGCGUAGGUAACCUGCCUGGUAGCGGGGGAUAACUAUUGGAAACGAUAGCUAAUACCGCAUAACAGUAGAUGUUGCAUGACAUUUGCUUAAAAGGUGCAAUUGCAUCACUACCAGAUGGACCUGCGUUGUAUUAGCUAGUUGGUGAGGUAACGGCUCACCAAGGCAACGAUACAUAGCCGACCUGAGAGGGUGAUCGGCCACACUGGGACUGAGACACGGCCCAGACUCCUACGGGAGGCAGCAGUAGGGAAUCUUCGGCAAUGGACGGAAGUCUGACCGAGCAACGCCGCGUGAGUGAAGAAGGUUUUCGGAUCGUAAAGCUCUGUUGUAAGAGAAGAACGAGUGUGAGAGUGGAAAGUUCACACUGUGACGGUAUCUUACCAGAAAGGGACGGCUAACUACGUGCCAGCAGCCGCGGUAAUACGUAGGUCCCGAGCGUUGUCCGGAUUUAUUGGGCGUAAAGCGAGCGCAGGGCGGUUAGAUAAGUCUGAAGUUAAAGGCUGUGGCUUAACCAUAGUACGCUUUGGAAACUGUUUAACUUGAGUGCAAGAGGGGAGAGUGGGAUUCCAUGUGUAGCGGUGAAAUGCGUAGAUAUAUGGAGGAACACCCGUGGCGAAAGCGGCUCUCUGGCUUGUAACUGACGCUGAGGCUCGAAAGCGUGGGAGAGCAAACAGGAUUAGAUACCCUGGUAGUCCACGCCGUAAACGAUGAGUGCUAGGUGUUAGACCCUUUCCGGGGUUUAGUGCCGUAGCUAACGCAUUAAGCACUCCGCCUGGGGAGUACGACCGCAAGGUUGAAACUCAAAGGAAUUGACGGGGGCCCGCACAAGCGGUGGAGCAUGUGGUUUAAUUCGAAGCAACGCGAAGAACCUUACCAGGUCUUGACAUCCCUCUGACCGCUCUAGAGAUAGAGUUUUCCUUCGGGACAGAGGUGACAGGUGGUGCAUGGUUGUCGUCAGCUCGUGUCGUGAGAUGUUGGGUUAAGUCCCGCAACGAGCGCAACCCUUAUUGUUAGUUGCCAUCAUUCAGUUGGGCACUCUAACGAGACUGCCGGUAAUAAACCGGAGGAAGGUGGGGAUGACGUCAAAUCAGCAUGCCCCUUAUGACCUGGGCUACACACGUGCUACAAUGGCUGGUACAACGAGUCGCAAGCCGGUGACGGCAAGCUAAUCUCUUAAAGCCAGUCUCAGUUCGGAUUGUAGGCUGCAACUCGCCUACAUGAAGUCGGAAUCGCUAGUAAUCGCGGAUCAGCACGCCGCGGUGAAUACGUUCCCGGGCCU
rnacentral:rRNA from 1 species